CGGCGGCCAUAGCGUGAGGGAAACGCCCGGUCACAUUCCGAACCCGGAAGCUAAGCCUCACAGCGCCGAUGGUACUGCAGGGGGGACCCUGUGGGAGAGUAGGACACCGCCGGACU
rnacentral:rRNA from 3 species